CGGCGGACGGGUGAGUAACACGUGGGUAACCUACCUAUAAGACUGGGACAACUUCGGGAAACCGGAGCUAAUACCGGAUAAGAUAUCGAACCGCAUGGUUCGAUAGUGAAAGAUGGUUUUGCUAUCACUUAUAGAUGGACCCGCGCCGUAUUAGCUAGUUGGUGAGGUAACGGCUCACCAAGGCAACGAUACGUAGCCGACCUGNGAGGGUGAUCGGCCACACUGGAACUGAGACACGGUCCAGACUCCUACGGGAGGCAGCAGUC
rnacentral:rRNA from 1 species